UACGAAGGGGGCUAGCGUUGCUCGGAAUCACUGGGCGUAAAGGGUGCGUAGGCGGGUCUUUAAGUCAGGGGUGAAAUCCUGGAGCUCAACUCCAGAACUGCCUUUGAUACUGGCGAUCUUGAGUCCGGGAGAGGUGAGUGGAACUGCGAGUGUAGAGGUGAAAUUCGUAGAUAUUCGCAAGAACACCAGUGGCGAAGGCGGCUCACUGGCCCGAUACUGACGCUGAGGCACGAAAGCGUGGGGAGCAAACAGGA
rnacentral:rRNA from 1 species